rnacentral:tRNA from 1 species
AUUUAAGUAGCUUAAAUUAGAGCAUAAUACUGAAGAUAUUAAGGUAAUAUUAGUUCUUAAAUA